rnacentral:rRNA from 1 species
AGCGAACGCUGGCGGCAGGCCUAACACAUGCAAGUCGAACGAACCUUUCGGGGUUAGUGGCGGACGGGUGAGUAACACGUGGGAACGUGCCUUUAGGUUCGGAAUAAUUCAGGGAAACUUGUGCUAAUACCGAAUGUGCCCUUCGGGGGAAAGAUUAAUCGCCUUUAGAGCGGCCCGCGUCUGUUUAGCUAGUUGGUUGAGGUAAUGGCUCACCAAGGCGACGAUCAGUAGCUGGUCUGAGAGGAUGAUCAGCCACAUUGGGACUGAGACACGGCCCAAACUCCUACGGGAGGCAGCAGUGGGGAAUCUUGCGCAAGGGGCGAAAGCCUGACGCAGCCAUGCCGCGUGAAUGAUGAAGGUCUUAGGAUUGUAAAAUUCUUUCACCGGGGACGAUAAUGACGGUACCCGGAGAAGAAGCCCCGGCUAACUUCGUG